CCUACGGGAGGCAGCAGUGGGGAAUAUUGGACAAUGGGCGAAAGCCUGAUCCAGCAAUGCCGCGUGUGUGAAGAAGGCCUGCGGGUUGUAAAGCACUUUCGGUGGGGAGGAAAAGCUGAGGGCUAAUACCUUUCAGUGUUGACGUUACCCAAAGAAGAAGCACCGGCUAACUCUGUGCCAGCAGGCGCGGUAAU
rnacentral:rRNA from 1 species